rnacentral:rRNA from 1 species
AUAACUUACCCUUAGGACUGGGAUAACUCUGGGAAACUGGGGAUAAUACCGGAUAUUAGGCUAUGCCUGGAAUGGUUUGCCUUUGAAACGUUCUUUUCGCCUAAGGAUAGAUCUGCGGCUGAUCAGGUCGUUGGUGGGGUAAUGGCCCACCAAGCCUAUGAUCGGUACGGGUUGUGAGAGCAAGAGCCCGGAGAUGGAACCUGAGACAAGGUUCCAGACCCUACGGGGUGCAGCAGGCGCGAAACCUCCACAAUGUACGAAAGUGCGAUGGGGGAAUCCCAAGUGUUAUUCUUAACAGAAUAGCUUUUCAUUAGUGUAAAAAGCUUUUAGAAUAAGAGCUGGGCAAGACCGGUGCUAGCCGCCGCGGUAACACCGGCAGCUCGAGUGGUAGCUGUUUUUAUUGGGCCUAAAGCGUUCGUAGCCGGUUUGAUUAGUCUUUGGUGAAAGCUUGUAGCUUAACUAUAAGAAUUGCUGGAGAUACUAUCAGACUUGAAGUCGGGAGAGGUUAGAGGUACUACCGGGGUAGGGGUGAAAUCCUAUAAUCCUGGGAGGACCACCUGUGGCGAAAGCGUCUAACUAGAACGAUCUUGACGGUGAGUAACGAAAGCCAGGGGCGCGAACCGGAUUAGAUACCCGGGUAGUCCUGGCCGUAAACGAUGUGGACUUGGUGUUGGAAUGGCUUCGAGUUGUUCCAGUGCCGAAGGGAAGCUGUUAAGUCCACCGCCUGGGAAGUACGGUCGCAAGACUGAAUCUUAA